rnacentral:rRNA from 1 species
GACGGAGGAUGCAAGCGUUAUCCGGAAUGAUUGGGCGUAAAGCGUCCGCAGGUGGCAGUUCAAGUCUGCUGUCAAAGACCGGGGCUUAACUUCGGAAAGGCAGUGGAAACUGAACAGCUAGAGUAUGGUAGGGGCAGAGGGAAUUCCUGGUGUAGCGGUGAAAUGCGUAGAUAUUAGGAAGAACAUCGGUGGCGAAGGCGGGUCUCUGGGCCGAUACUGACGCUGAGGAGCGAAAGCGUGGGGAGCAAACAGG